GACGAACGCUGGCGGCGUGCUUAACACAUGCAAGUCGAACGGAAAGGCCCUUCGGGGUCCUCGAGUGGCGAACGGGUGCGUAACACGUGGGUGAUCUGCCCUGCACUUUGGGAUAAGCCUGGGAAACUGGGUCUAAUACCGAAUAGGACCACGCGCUUCAUGGUGUGUGGUGGAAAGCUUUUGCGGUGUGGGAUGGGCCCGCGGCCUAUCAGCUUGUUGGUGGGGUAAUGGCCUACCAAGGCGACGACGGGUAGCCGGCCUGAGAGGGUGACCGGCCACACUGGGACUGAGAUACGGCCCAGACUCCUACGGGAGGCAGCAGUGGGGAAUAUUGCACAAUGGGCGCAAGCCUGAUGCAGCGACGCCGCGUGAGGGAUGACGGCCUUCGGGUUGUAAACCUCUUUCAAUAGGGACGAAGCGCAAGUGACGGUACCUAUAGAAGAAGCACCGGCCAACUACGUG
rnacentral:rRNA from 1 species